rnacentral:rRNA from 1 species
ANUUUAUACUGNCUGCGUGGCUCAUUACAACAGCAAUAAUUUAUUUGAUGGUACCUUACUACGUGGAUACCCGUAGUAAUUCUAGAGCUAAUACAUGCGCAAAGUCCCGACUCUCACGGGGAGGGAUGUAUUUAUUAAAUACAAAACCAAUGCGGCCUUUCGGGGUCGGUCUGUUGGUGAUUCAUAAUAACUGAUCGAAUCGCAUAGCUUCACGCUGGCGAUAUUUCAUUCAAAUUUCUGCCCUAUCAGCUUUCGACGGUAGUGUAGUGGACUACCGUGGCGCCAACGGANAACGNGGAAU